AUUGAACGCUGGCGGCAUGCUUUACACAUGCAAGUCGAACGGCAGCGCGGGCUUCGGCCUGGCGGCGAGUGGCGAACGGGUGAGUAAUACAUCGGAACGUGCCCAGUAGUGGGGGAUAGCUCGGCGAAAGCCGGAUUAAUACCGCAUACGACCUGAGGGUGAAAGCGGGGGAUCUUCGGACCUCGCGCUAUUGGAGCGGCCGAUGGCAGAUUAGCUAGUUGGUGGGGUAAAGGCCUACCAAGGCGACGAUCUGUAGCUGGUCUGAGAGGACGACCAGCCACACUGGGACUGAGACACGGCCCAGACCCCUACGGGAGGCAGCAGUGGGGAAUUUUGGACAAUGGGCGAAAGCCUGAUCCAGCAAUGCCGCGUGUGUGAUGAAGGCCUUCGGGUUGUAAAGCACUUUUGGCGGGAACGAAAAGGACUGUGCCAAUACCACGGUCCGAUGACGGUACCCGCAGAAUAAGCACCGGCUAACUACGUG
rnacentral:rRNA from 1 species